UACAUAGGGGGCAAGCGUUAUCCGGAAUUAUUGGGCGUAAAGGGUGCGUAGGCGGCUAUUUAAGUUUAAGGUGUAAGUGCAAGGCUCAACCUUGUGAGGCUUUAAAAACUGGAUAGCUUGAGGUAGACAGAGGCAAGUGGAAUUCCAUGUGUAGCGGUAAAAUGCGUAAAUAUAUGGAGGAACACCAGUGGCGAAGGCGGCUUGCUGGGUCUAAACUGACGCUGAGGCACGAAAGCGUGGGGAGCAAACAGGAUUAGAUACCCUGGUAGUCCCUGA
rnacentral:rRNA from 1 species